UACGUAGGGUCCGAGCGUUGUCCGGAAUUAUUGGGCGUAAAGGGCUCGUAGGCGGUCUGUCGCGUCGGGAGUGAAAACUUACAGCUUAACUGUGAGCGUGCUUUCGAUACGGGCAGACUUGAGGCAUUCAGGGGAGAACGGAAUUCCUGGUGUAGCGGGUGAAAUGCGCAGAUAUCAGGAGGAACACCGGUGGCGAAGGCGGUUCUCUGGGAAUGUCCUGACGCUGAGGAGCGAAAGUGUGGGAGGCGAACAGG
rnacentral:rRNA from 1 species